CGGAGGGUGCAAGCGUUGUCCGGAUUUAUUGGGUUUAAAGGGUGCGUAGGCGGCUGAAUAAGUCAGCGGUGAAAGACUUCGGCUUAACCGGAGCAGUGCCGUUGAUACUGUUUADCUUGAGUGUDGGAGGGGUACAUGGAAUUGAUGGUGUAGCGGUGAAAUGCAUAGAUAYCAUCARGAACACCGAUAGCGAAGGCAUYGUACUGGCCAACAACUGACGCUSAGGCACGAAAGUGUGGGGAUCGAACAGGAUUAGAUACCCUGGUUAGUCCACACCGUAAACGAUGAUUACUCGCUGUUGUGGWGUAAGCKGYAGCGYCCAAGCGAAAGCGUUAA
rnacentral:rRNA from 1 species